GCCGGGUGUGGUGGCUCACACCUGUAAUCCUAGCACUUUGGGAGGCUGAGAAGGGUGGAUCAUCUGAGGUCAGGAGUUCGAGACCAGCCUGGCCUACAUGGUGAAACCCCAUCUCUA
ensembl:misc_RNA Metazoa_SRP Metazoan signal recognition particle RNA